rnacentral:lncRNA from 1 species
AAAGCUGUCUGGGCUGGCAAUGAACUAGUUCUCCAGGGAGCAGGUAGUGGAUCUAUCAUACAUUUUGAAGUAAACGCAGGGUGCUUAUGUGAUCGCCCACAGCAAACCAAGCCUAUGUUGAUUGUCUCCUUGACAUUCACUUCUGCUUCUUUUUAAAAACAGGGAGAAUAAUUAAUGGAAAACAAAUGCCUGACAACUGGCUUUGUUUCUUCUCCACCUACAUGCCCACACAUAGCCAGACACUCAUCCCCCUGACUUCUGUGAGCCAAUGAUUCACUAAUUUAAAAAUAGAUAGCAGUUGUUCUUGUUAUUGGAGCUCUGAACUCCUGAGUUCAAAAGGGCCAUGACAACAAUACCAAAUGUGGUUACUCUAAUGUAUUACCAACUGCAUCAUCUGAGAUUUUUCUUAGUGAUGUAUGCUAACAGAAACCUAACACUGUUGGAACUCAGGAAAUCCACACAGCAAAGUGCAUAUAAUGCAGAUUAGAACUGUGUGAAGUUAAAGGGGGGACCCCUGAAUUGUAAUAAGGUUUAAAAUUUGUAAAAGCCAACAGCCUCAGCUUAGCACAUAAUUCCAUUUGAUAUUUUAAAAUUCCCAUUUAAAACUUAAAUUGCUAAGAUGUUCAGCACAUUUAAAUUUAUUGAGAGAACGUGCUUUUAAUAUUGUCCGGCUCUAACGUUUCCAGAUACUUCCAUGUGAGGAUUAUAAUAGCCUUGCUUUAUGAAGACCAUGGCAAAUUAACUCCCACCCCACACAUUUUACAGGAUCUAGUUCUUCUGGUCAUUUGAUUGCAUAUUAUCCCUCAAUUUCAUCCUCUUUGGCGUACAUGCCAGAACUCUGACAGACCCACAAUCUCCUCUAACCUCCUGCAAGAAAAGGUUUUGUGGGGAAAUAUAAUUCUUUAUCAUUCACUAGCACAGGCAUUUUGUAUAUCAAAAAGGAUCAUUUGCCAGGACUCUUGAUUGAAAUCAAGGCCAGAUACAAAAGGCUCCCCUCUACUGGUACUUGCAUUCUGGAAGUUUCCAUCAAGGAAGGGUUUGAUGUCUGUGAGGCACUGAGAAACACACAGCACUCAGGCUUUGUUGGGGACCCCACAAUGAAUUCUCCAGUUGUAGCAAGAAGGAAAGACAACACUGAGGCAGGGGGAUGACGACAUGGAAGGUGCUCUGGGAAGGCUGGGUUGGCUCUUCUUAUAGGUAUAGUGAUGAUGCUGCCUCAGCUCUCCCUACAGCCUGCUUUAUACACAGGGGGAGACUUGGAAAGGUAGCAGGAGCCUGAGCUACCUACUAAACCAUGAGGGUGUUUUAAUGACCAGGCUUGCCUGAAAUAGUACCAGCUGUUUGUAACACUCCAGGGGUUUAGCUCAAUUCACAAUCACAAACCAUUUCAAGGACAUUGAUAUAUCUUUGUGUUACUUUCACAAUGUCAUCUUCUGUUUCCUUUUGAUAUUGGCUCAUUUGCUUUUUGGCUUUCUUUGGCUUGAUUCUGUUAUGCAUAUAUCCUGUGAUAUUAAGCUAUGGCGUGCCAUUAUGUUUUCCAGACAACGCUUAGAUGUGUCUGGUUAGUUUGUGUCAUCUGAACGUGCAAUUCUUUUUUUUGUAGAUCUUUGGGAUGGAACCCUUUUCAGGACUGUAUGCCAUUUAAAUUUCUCAUGCAAGCUGUUUCUAGUAAAAGUUUGAAUAUUUAUAAAUUUC